UAUUUAUGUAAUUUGCUAAUGUCUUACUAUAAAAUACAUAUAUAAUGCAUAUUAUAUACAUAAUAUAUGCAUUCAUUGUGUACUAUAGGGCAUAGAUCAAGGCUUAUGGUUAAUGAUAUAGACAUUUGUUUUUAAACCCACUUUUUAGAAUAUGUGUGCUAGCUAGCAUUAAACGUAAUUAAUCUCAAUAACAUGUUAGGUUUGACAACCAUGAAGUAAAUGCAUGCUGAUUUUAUAUGUACAAUGUUUCUAAAUGUGUUUUUUGUGGCUCUGUAUGUUCAGAAAGAGGAAGAGGAGGCUCGCCAGAGAGAAGAGGCAGAGCGUUUGCGUCUGGAGAGAGAGAAACACUUCCAGAAAGAGGAGGCUGAGAGAAUGGAGAGGAAGAAGGUAAGCUAAUUUCAUUUUGAGUGCUUUUUGAGGUAAUGGCAGGGUUGAAAUGUUAUCUGAAUCUUGUCUGUCACAGCGCCUUGAGGAAAUUAUGAAACGCACACGCCGAUCUGAUCAGGUAAGAUGUAAUGUCUGCGAGCAAUUGCUUUCCUCUUUUUAUCAUUGUUACCUCUAAUUUGAAGUGCUGGCUCUUCACUAACACACUUUCUACUUAUUUACUUUUUUCCAUUUAUUUACGUUUUGAAGAAAACCACCCCACAGAGAAAUGGCGAUGUCAGCCAGCAGAGCGGACAGAAUUCAGUGAGUUCAAUAUCCAGCAGCCCUUCAGUGACAGUGUCAGCCCCUCAGGCUCCGGAGACCUCUGAGACAGUAUGCAGUGACAGUAAUGGACACACAGGGCCCAGCUGCGUUACACCCAUACUGCCCACAUCAGGUCACAGUGUGGCUGUCCAGCUCAGAGAAAAUGGCACUGUCACAGAGGCUUUCGAGGAGGUCAUAGAGGUUCCCGUGGGGACCAAACUGUCCCGUCAAGAUGGAGAUGGAGAGGAGGUGGAAAAUGAAGAAGAGGAGAAGAGAAAGGUUCCCUUAUUGGCUUUCAGAGAGAAUGGCAGCAUGCAUAAUGUGAGUGGACUGGAGGAAAACCCGGCACAGUAAAGUUCAGGUCAGUCAGUCCGGACACAACAUGGAUUUGGGGUGACAUGCGAUGGCCCCUUUACCUUAUUUAGAUUUUUUCCCAUUAUAGAUGUAUGAAUAUUUAUAAUGGUGGAAAUGGAACAUGCAACACAGGAAUGAAAGAAAACCGAGUCGGAGGGAGAUCCCCUCAAUGCACUUUCCUUCAUUUGACACUAAGACACCUAAAAUAGCAAAGAGAAAUUACUAAAUUAAGAUCUCUUGGCUUCUACUUCCUGUAAUCAGAUCCUGUCUCCUCAAACUGAAAUGGUGCGCUUUAGGAACCACAUCUGUCUUUUUUCUAAUACUUGAAGAAAAGUGUCCUCGCUGUCGUGGAGGCUCCUGUGAAGUGCUAACCAUAAGGAAUGUGUGACAAGAGAAUGAUGUUUGUUGUGUUUGCUUAGAUUUAUGGCAAAACCUUGUAGUUUUGCUCUCGUUAUGCCAGCAAUUGUGUGAGUGGCUGAACUCUCUGCUUAGUUUUAUAAUUAUUGUUCAAAUGAAGAGAACAUAUUUGUUUCCCUCUUUGCAAAGCUUGAACAGAUUUUUGCCUCUUGAAUUAUGAAUUUUGAUAUGGUUUGCAAAGACCUCGUCUCACUCCACCUCAAUGUACGGCUCUCUACGCAGUCUGAGCGAAGCAAAACUGUCAUCCUAUUUUUUUGUGAAGUGACUGGGUGAAUCGGACUUGCUCAGGAACAUAUCCAUGAUAUGUUUAACUCAAAAUUAAAUGGAAAAAAGUAUUAGCGUUUAAAUUAAGCUCACCCUUUCAUUUCUUAUUACAGUAAUUGUGGGGAAAAUUAUUAUAUAUUAUGUAAAGUGUGAAGUAUGUACAUUGUGUAAACAGUUGUUCUAUUGCCUGUAAUUAAUACCGAUUCAAAUAAAAAAAAAUGUAUUACCUUUUUUCCA
ensembl:lncRNA